rnacentral:rRNA from 1 species
CAUAACAAAACCCCGGCACGGUAUGUGCCAAGGAAAACAAAAAUGAGAAGGACACUACCUGUUUCGCCCCGUUUGCGGUGUGCGUACAGGUCGUGGCCUCCUUGGAAUCACAAACGACUCUCGGCAACGGAUAUCUCGGCUCACGCAUCGAUGAAGAACGUAGCAAAAUGCGAUACUUGGUGUGAAUUGCAGAAUCCCGUGAACCAUCGAGUUUUUGAACGCAAGUUGCGCCCGAAGCCAUCCGGCUGAGGGCACGCCUGCCUGGGCGUCACGCAUCGCGUCGCUCCCCACCAUACCUCCCCAACGGGUUGGCAUGGUGUUGGGGGCGGAUAAUGGCCUCCCGUGCUUGUGUUUCGGUUGGCCUAAAUAAGAGUUCCCUUCGGCGGACACACGACUAGUGGUGGUUGAAUAGACCCUCGUCUUUUGUUGCGUGUCGUGAGCUGUAAGGGUAGCCCUCAUCAAAGACCCCAUUGUAUCGUCUUCGGAUGAUGCUUCGACCGCGACCCCAGGUCAGGCGGGACUACCCGCUGAG